GAUGAACGCUGGCGGCGUGCCUAAUACAUGCAAGUCGAGCGAACAGACGAGGAGCUUGCUCCUCUGACUUUAGCGGCGGACGGGCGAGUAACACGUGGAUAACCUACCUAUAAGACUGGGAUAACUUCGUGAAACCGGAGCUAAUACCGGAUAAUAUAUUGAACCGCAUGGUUCAAUAGUGAAAGACGGUUUUGCUUCCGCUUAUAGAUGGACCCGCCCCGCAUUAGCUAGUUGGUAAGGUAACGCCUUACCAAGGCGACGAUGCGUAGCCGACGUGAGAGGGUGAUCGCCCACACUGGAAGUGGAACACGGUCCAGACUACUACGGGGAGCAGCAGUAGGGAAUCAUCCGCAAUGGGAGAAAGCCUGACGGAGCAACGCCGCGUGAGGGAUGAAGGUCUUCGGAUCGUAGAGCUCUGUUUUUAGGGAGGAAGAAAUGUGUAAGUAGCUAUGCACGUCUUGACGGUACCUAAUCAGAAAGCCACGGCUAACUACGUG
rnacentral:rRNA from 1 species